ACGAAUAUACCACCUUGAAACACCGAUUUCUGUAUGAUCACCGAAGUUAAGCAACGCUAGCCUAGUCAGUACCUAGGUGGCUGACCGCUUGGGAAUAUUAGAUGCUGUAAG